rnacentral:rRNA from 1 species
GACGAGGGGUCCUAGCGUUGUUCGGAAUCAUUGGGCGUAAAGCGUAUGUAGGCGGCCUUGCAAGUCAGUUGUGAAAGCCCCGGGCUCAACCCGGGAAGUGCUUCUGAUACUGCAUGGCUUGAAUACUGGAGAGGGUAGUGGAAUUCCUGGUGUAGUGGUGAAAUACGUAGAUAUCAGGAGGAACAUCGGUGGCGAAGGCGGCUACCUGGCCAUGUAUUGACGCUGAGAUACGAAAGCGUGGGGAGCAAACAGG